rnacentral:rRNA from 1 species
AUCGAACGCUGGCGGCAGGCCUAACACCUGCAAGUCGAGCGGAGCGGCGGACGGGUGAGUAAUGCCAACGCAUCUGCCUGGUAGUGGGGGAUACCGUCUGGAACCGGGCACUAAUACCGCAUACUAUCAGAUGAGCCUCGGUCGGAUUAGAUAGUUGGUGGGGUAACGGCCUACCAAGGCGACGCACCGUAACUGGUCUGAGAGGAUGAUCAGUCAUAGUGUGACUGAGAAACGGUCCAGACGCCUACGGGAGGCAGCAGUGGGGAAUAUUGGACAAUGGGCGAAAGCCUGAUCCAGCCAUGCCGCGUGGGUGAAGAAGGUCUUCGGAUUGUAAAGCACUUGAAGUUGGGAGGCGUUACCAACAGAAUAAGCACCGGCUAACUUCGUGCCAGCAGCCACGGUAAUAC